rnacentral:rRNA from 1 species
UUCCGUAGGUGAACCUGCGGAAGGAUCAUUGUCGUGACCCUUAAACAAAACAGACCGUGAACAUGUCAUCCAUCCCGCACGUGGUUCUACCCGUGCAAGGCCCCCGACCUUUCCGAAGGAGAGGGGCCGCAAAAGAACCCACGGCGCCGAAGGCGUCAAGGAAAACUGAUAUUGCCUUGCUCGGGGCUGUGCUCGGCUUGCCGAGCACACCUCGUGCAGCGAUGCUAUCUUAAUCCACACGACUCUCGGCAACGGAUAUCUCGGCUCUCGCAUCGAUGAAGAACGUAGCAAAAUGCGAUACCUGGUGUGAAUUGCAGAAUCCCGCGAACCAUCGAGUUUUUGAACGCAAGUUGCGCCCGAGGCCUUCUGGUUGAGGGCACGCCUGCCUGGGCGUCACGCCAAAAGACACUCCCAACCCAAACCUGGGGAAGGACGUGGUGUUUGGCUCCCCGUGCUGCAAGGCGCGGUGGGCCGAAGUUUGGGCUGCCGGCAUAACUUGUCGGGCACCGCACGUGGUGGGCGACAUCUAGUUGUUCUCGGUGCAGUGUCCUGGCAUGCAGCUGGCUUAUUGGCCUCAAGGACCCAUACACGACCGAAGCGUUUAGGCGCUCGGACCGCGACCCCAGGUCAGACGGGACUACCC